GUGCCAGCAGCCGCGGUAAUACGUAGGGUGCGAGCGUUGUCCGGAAUUAUUGGGCGUAAAGGGCUCGUAGGCGGUUUGUCGCGUCGGGAGUGAAAACACUGGGCUUAACUCAGUGCUGGCUUCCGAUACGGGCAGACUAGAGGUAUGCAGGGGAGAACGGAAUUCCUGGGUGUAGCGGUGAAAUGCGCAGAUAUCAGGAGGAACACCGGUGGCGAAGGCGGUUCUCUGGGCAUUACCUGACGCUGAGGAGCGAAAGUGUGGGGAGCGAACAGGAUUAGAUACCCUGGUAGUCC
rnacentral:rRNA from 1 species